rnacentral:rRNA from 1 species
CAGCAGCCGCGGUAAUACGAAGGGGGCUAGCGUUGCUCGGAAUGACUGGGCGUAAAGGGCGCGUAGGCGGAUCACGCAGUCAGAUGUGAAAUUCCUGGGCUUAACCUGGGGGCUGCAUUUGAGACGCGUGGUCUAGAGUGUGAAAGAGGGUCGUGGAAUUCCCAGUGUAGAGGUGAAAUUCGUAGAUAUUGGGAAGAACACCGGUGGCGAAGGCGGCGACCUGGUUCACAACUGACGCUGAGGCGCGAAAGCGUGGGGAGCAAACAGGAUUAGAUACCCGCGUAGUCCCUGUCUCUUAUAC